ensembl:lncRNA LINC01374 long intergenic non-protein coding RNA 1374
GGCUGCUAAGUGAAUGGCAGGGAGGCUUGAGGCUGCGCUGUUCACUUUAGGAAACAGCGAGGUGUCUGAGCUAGGGAAUCCUAAAAAGGAUUACUGUCACAAAUUGAAUUGAAAUUUAAGAAACACACAAACUGAAACAAGACCUUUUAAUUUGUAGCCCCAAACAGGCAAACUGCUCUGUUGAAACAAUUAAGCAGCUGUGAUGAGGAGGGGCAGCAAUACACAGCAGCUGCCCGGAUUUCCAAGGAGGUUACAGAGAGUUCACGGACUUAGAACCACUCUAGCUCACCUGGCUCCACGUGGCGACUCAAGGCUCUGCACCCUUCCGGCCGCUAAGACAAGGCCUCAGACACGGGGUUCUGCCCUGUCUACUGUCAGCAGAGCCAAGCUGAGAAGGAUGGGCACGAGAAAAGGUUGCUAACUUUGGAGGAAGCCAGCUGCCAUGUCACAAAAAGAUUCAGGAAGCCAUGUGGAGAGGCCCACAUCAUGAGGAACUGAGGUCUUUGCCAAUUACCAGCAAGGAAAUGAGGCCUCCUGCCAACAGCCACUUCUGGAGGCUUGGAAGUCCAAGAUCAAGAGGUGAACAGAUUUGGUGUCUGGUGGGGGCCUGCUUCCUGAUUCAUAGAUGGCACCAUCCAGCUGUGCCCUCACAUGGUGGAAGGAAUGAGGCUGCUCUCUGGAAUCUCUUUUAUAAGCUGGAAGGCCUUCACCAGAUGCCGGCACCUUGAUCUUUGAUUUCUCAUCCUCCAGAACUGUGAGAAAUACAUUUCUCUUCUUCAUAAAUCAUCCAGUCUCAGAUAUUGUGUUAUAGUAGCACAAAAUGGACUAAGACAAACUUUAAUGUUAAGCAUCCAACAAUGCACUCUGGCAAAUUGUGGGUUACUUCUACCAAAAAGUGUGAAAUCCUGGCCUGUUCCUCACUGCAGCCUGAACUUAGCUUAUAAGCAGAUAUUUGCAAUCUAUUUAAACUUGCCUCAGCCCCAGGCCUUAGGGGUUCAACCUUUCCCCAGAGCAAAUGUUUUUUUUUUAUGAAAUAACAAGAACUCAGUGUUAUAAUCAACAGAUGGUAAUAGCUGAGCAAGUUCUAAUCUCAUAACACU